rnacentral:ncRNA from 2 species
CACAUACUAAAAGCGCCAGGACUAAUCCGGAUCGGAAAAAGGGAUUAGUUGACGAGGUGGAGGUUUAUCGAAGUUUCGGCGGAUGCCUCCCAGCCGCAGCGCACGGCUGACUCUUGCUGCUUAAAAACAUCAGGGCAACUUGAUGGACAAAGAGCUGCAAGAUGCGCAAA